CAGUAUUUACAUUUUUUGGUUCCCAACAAAAAGAUUAGACCACUUUUAAACUUUUGAAAUCAUUUUCCCUUCUUUCUUAAACACUAUCCUCUCUACUUUCUUUCGACCACAACUCAAACCCUAGCCACACUAUUUUCGCUGGCGGCCGCUGCAUCUGACGGCAGUCGCCAGAAACCCGUUAUCGUCUUUGGCUUCUUAUCUUUUCGGUGGUUUUCUCUCGUGCGUCACAGCUCAGAUCUUUUUCUCUUUGAGCUCUCCUGAUGUUGUUAAUGGCGGUGGAUGGCCUCCUCGCCAUAUCUACCGCUAUUCUCCAUUGUUAUCCAGUUUUCCCUUGUUGUUUCUCUUCUCCUAAGAGUUUGAUGACGUGUGGGCUAUUGGUUUCACCUUCAUUCUCAGAUCCAGGAUUUUGACGUGGUGAGUCGGUGGUUGUGCUCUGUUUGAGCAUGGGUGAGUUGGAUGUGUCGUCUACUCAUCAGUCUUGGCGACCUCUGAUUUUGUACAAGUCUCUGUCUCCACUGGAAGUCCUCAGAGAAGCGUCACAUUUGAGGGGCAGUUCUUUCCUCUCUAAACUUUCGGUGGAAACGUGUGAGAUUGGCCAUAUGUUGCAUUAGCUUGGAGUUCAUUCCUCACCAUUGGUCCUACAUUACAGUGACUGCUCGUCAUAAGAGUGGGAUGGAUAGUCUGGCUGGAGGCAUGGUGACAGUUAUGAAGGCUUUUUUCUUUUCUAAGAGUGGUUUCUCUGGAGGUUGGGGUACCUCCAUGUCUGUCUUAAAAAAACUCUAUAUGAGCUUUUGGUUCAUCUUACACCGGUCACAGUUGAAAAGUUUAGAGAUAACAAUUUUGAGCUUCUCUUUCGAACGACGGCAUUAUCAGUUAGAAUCUCUUCCUCGUGUCACCACUGUUUAUUGUUUAGCCGAGAAAUGAAUUCGUGUUUAGAUUCUCUAGUUUGGUUUGUGUAUGGUCGAAGCUGUAGGAACCGUAGCUUCAAGGUUGAGAGCGUAUUUCUACCGAUAGCUCGCAGCAAUUGAGUUAUCACCUCAUUCUUUACCAUUGAUUUUGGUCUAAGCUCUCUUCGUUGUUAUUUACCUCUAAGUUGUCUUCUUAACUGCUUUUGUUCUGAUUAAGUUAUUGUGUGUAGCUGUUUAUUUAGUUAGAUUAUGCAUUUUUUUGCUACUUGUCUUUUUGUUUCUCUGUCUACUAUUAGCUUUUUGUAAUAUCUGUCAAAAAUAAAAAUAAAAUUGUAUAAUAACUAACAUU